CCUACGGGAGGCAGCAGUGAGGAAUAUUGGUCAAUGGACGCAAGUCUGAACCAGCCAUGCCGCGUGCAGGAAGACGGCUCUAUGAGUUGUAAACUGCUUUUGUACGAGGGUAAACGCAGAUACGCGUAUCUGUCUGAAAGUCUCGCACGAAUAAGGAUCGGCUAACUCCGUGCCAGCAGCCGCGGUAAUACGGAGGAUUCAAGCGUUAUCCGGAUUUAGUGGGCGUAAAGGGUGCGUAGGCGGUCGGAUAAGUUAGAGGUGAAAUCCCGAGGCUCAACUUCGGAAUUGACUCUGAUACUGUUCGGCUAGAGAGUAGUUGCGGUAGGCGGAAUGUAUGGUGUAGCGGUGAAAUGCUUAGAGAUCAUACAGAACACCGGUUGCGAAGGCAGCUUACCAAGCUACUUCUGACGUUGAGGCACGAAAGCGUGGGGAGCAAACAGGAUUAGAUACCCCUGUAGUC
rnacentral:rRNA from 1 species